UACGGGGGGGGUAAGCGUUGUUCGGAAUUACUGGGCGUAAAGGGCUCGUAGGCGGCCAACUAAGUCAUACGUGAAAUCCCUCAGCUUAACUGGGGAACUGCGUGUGAUACUGGAUGGCUUGGAUUUGGGAGAGGGAUGCGGAAUUCCAGGUGUAGCGGUGAAAUGCGUAGAUAUCUGGAGGAACACCGGUGGCGAAGGCGGCAUCCUGGACCAAUAUUGACGCUGAGACGCGAAAGCGUGGGGAGCGAACAGG
rnacentral:rRNA from 1 species